rnacentral:rRNA from 1 species
UACAGAGGUGGCAAGCGUUGUUCGGAAUUACUGGGCGUAAAGGGCGCGUAGGCGGCCUUCUAAGUCAGACGUGAAAUCCCCCGGCUUAACCUGGGAACUGCGUCUGAUACUGGGAGGCUUGAGUAUGGGAGAGGGAUGUAGAAUUCCAGGUGUAGCGGUGAAAUGCGCAGAUAUCAGGGGGAACACCGAUGGCGAAGGCAGCACUCUGGGACGGUACUGACGCUGAGACGCGAAAGCGUGGGGAGCAAACAGG